UGAUCAAAGUGUGAUUUUUUUUUUAAAAAAAUGACAAAGAAUGUGUGUCGUUUGGACACUUUGAGCCCAAAAAUGACAUUCUUUUAGUUUUAAGGGAGAUUAUCUGCCUUCAAGUAGCUGCUAUCAUAUGGAUGGGGUGUGUAAUAUCCGACAGGGCCCAGUUAAAUGUGCAGUUUAGCUUUAUAUAUAUAUAUAUAUAUAUAUAUAUAUAUAUAUAUACACCCAUUAGUGAGGUGUUUUCUCUUCCAGCUAGCUUAUGCAGUGUGACGUGUUAAAGACAUUUCAUGGUGUGAUUAGACUGGACACACACACGCGCACACACACACACACACACACACAUACACCGGUGAGAAGUGCCAAGUCAGAUUUUAAAGGCUCACUGAUGUUUCUUUCUCACUUUCUCUGAUGAACCUGUGCUGCAGCAGCAGCAGCAGCAGCACCUGAUGAAGCAGCUUAACAUCUUCUCUGUCUGCACUGAAACAAAGCUUCCAUAGCAUCCUGUCUACAAUGGACUGAAGGUGAUCCAGAGAGCCAGUCACACUAUAAUGACAGCUGGGCAGAUGCAUGUCUACUUGUUCCUGACCCAAAGCUGCAUGCUCCCUCUUUGGAUCCAUCCUGCUCACCACCAAAGAGCCCAUCCAAACCUCCAUCAGGCACUCCAUCUCCUUCUGUACUUUUGUAGACACCCCCCCCAGUCUCUG
rnacentral:lncRNA from 1 species